UACGUAGGGGGCAAGCGUUGUCCGGAUUUAUUGGGCGUAAAGAGCGUGUAGGCGGCCUUACAGGUCAGCUGUGAAAACUCGAGGCUCAACCUCGAGACGUCGGUUGAAACCGUAUGGCUAGAGUCCGGAAGAGGAGAGUGGAAUUCCCGGUGUAGCGGUGAAAUGCGUAGAUAUCUGGAGGAACACCGGUGGCGAAGGCGGCAUCCUGGACCAAUUCUGACACUGAGGAGCGAAAGCCAGGGGAGCAAACGGG
rnacentral:rRNA from 1 species